GUGGGCUCCAAUGAGGAUGUGGGGCAUCCCUCUUAAAUGCACAUCGUGUAACAGGAAGAUAAACCACUAUGGCAUUGACACGAAAGUGAGAGAGGUGAUAGAUGUGGACUCCAGAUAUUAUCUGGUUAUUGGAGACUACCCAAGGUUAAGUAAAUGCAUGAUCCCUGUCUGCCUUGGAGUAGUGAGAUCUUGCAGCAGCUGGAUCCCUCCCACCGUAACAAGUAUCCUGCUGUCCCAACAACACAGCAGGCACUGGAGAGAGUGGGUCACAAAUGUUGCGAUCACGCACGGUAGGGAACAGCUCCAGCUACUCACAACAGGUCUUGCAGGAGGUACACAGCGAGGAGUGGGCAAGGCGGACUAUCGACUACCUCACUGAUUGUGAGGUCCAUAAAAAGGUGUUUCCUCACCAAGUCCAAACCUGUAUACGAACAGCCACCCACCUUCAGUCAUCUGCUCCUGGCUCAGUGGUUUGAAAACGUCCACAUAAAUGUGGUUCUUGGCCACCUGGAUGAGUUGAAAGGUGUUAUAACCUCAACUUAUGGCAGAAUCUUAAAGCUGGACUCCACCAAGAAGGUAAAAGUUAAAUUUGUUUUCAUUAUUGUUUAUUAGUAUGUCCAAUGAUUUGCUAAUGUCUUCUGUAGAUCAGUAAAAAGCUUGCAUCUGGCAUUGUUAACACGGCCACGUGGAUGAGCAAAAUCGGCAAUGAACUUGGCCAAGUUCUUAACUCAGUGCUGACCACUGGUGAGGGGGCUGGCCUUGAUGACCUGUGCCAAGGCGUUGUCCGGAGGUACAGGGAUGCUGGUGAGCCAGAGCCAGAUGCCAUAUAUGUGGACAGGGACUGCUGCAGUGAGUCAGGUGUGUUGCAUUCAAUUUGUGCUGUGAUGUUUCUUAUGAAUUUGCUAUGUUUGAUAAACAGUUUCAGCAGGAUAUUAAUGCAAUUGGUAAUGGGCUAACUGGAAACAAUCUGAAUUACGUUAUGUAUUUAUGGUGUGUUGUUUAUUAUAGGGGAGAGCCCAGUUCUCACUUGAUUUCGUCCAUGGACCUUCACAGUGAAACUGGAUGUCUUUCACUUCAUGAGGCGCUUCACCAAUGGCCUGACCAAUGAGCACCAUCUACUAUAUGUCACAUUCUUCUCAAAACUGUACAGCUGCAUUUUCGAAUGGGACUAAUCAGACAUUGAAAACUUGAACAGGCCAAGAGGGCAGAGCUGGUGGAAAAACACCUUGGUCACAUUCCUACUCAUAGCCAGGUGUUAGUGGGCAUCACCUCCAGCGAACUGGCUAAGCACUGCCGCAGGAAAACUCGAGGGGUUGAGGAGACUCACGCCCUCAUCCAACAACUGCUGGACUCCAUGUGGGACCACACGGAUACCACAGGGUUAUCGCUCAUCAACAAAGAGAGCAUGUCUCCUGUGUUGGAGGUGCAGCAGAAGCUCUUGCCCUUCAUCCAAGAUCCACCUGGUGUGUAGUUGUACAUCAACACCGGAUCAAGGUACCCAAUUGUUGUAUAAUAUCACCUACCUCAUGAUGUCUGCACACAAAAUUUGCGGAGAAUUAGGAACAAGCAUUAAUCCCUUGUAUUACCGCCCUCCCGGUCUCUGGCCUGUUGAAAAUGUUUGUUUCCCCUGAGCAUUCGGGGUCAUCACACCUGCCCAGUGUGAGUCUGGUUUCCCAGUCUUCGUCAUUUCUAAAGAUAAGGACAUGAAAACAGCUAUUAUUAGGUAACAGCUGUAAAUAUCCUGGCCUAAACUACUUCAUCCCGGAUCAUUCAAGGAAAAAAUUAUAAAUAAGAAAUAUCGAGAUACCAGAAAUAGUAGGAUAUGCAUACCCCUGACAUAAUGCAUAGACAGCAGUGGCGGCUGGUAGUUUUUAAAGUGAGGGAGGAAGGACCGCGCGCUUGGUUGCCAUUGGCCUGCUUGCACUGUUGGUGUAUGGUGGCAUAAGAAUGUGAGACUCAAGUUGUUUCAGGGUGUUUUGGUGAACUACAAAAUAGUAGGGCGGGAUAGUUAUGUGAAUAAAUUUGAUACAAAGGCACCAGUGGCAUCACUGUAAUUUGAAAGCUGGUGGGCAGCAUGUCUUUGAAAUGGACUACAAGGGCAGAAGGAAAGGAUGCAAAGCCCAUUAGUCAAAUCAGGCCUACUCUUGAUUUGUAAAAGUAAAUACAAUUAUCUGGGCCUAUUUUUGCCCUCAAUGACUGAAGUUAUUGGUUGUAAUUUAGCUAUGUUUAUUUUCAUUCACAAUUGUUUUAAGAAAAGACUGACCAGAAGUGAUGCCAUUUAAAAUGCAUCAUGCUCUGAAUCAUUCACCCGUUCCACACCAUUUCCACAAUAUCAAACAGAACGGUCAGAGUAACAAACUAGUAAAAGAACGAGAACAUUAUUCUAGAUUCAACCUGAUCUAUAGGCAUGGUGCCUAGCAAGGAAAGUCGCAUAGCAGCACCAGCGUGAACUUGACACUAGUGGUGGCAGAAACCAUGAACAGCCCACAUUGGAGAUUUGCCAUUACUCAUUAGCAAACAGAGCCAGCAAUACAGUCGAUUACUAGUAAUGCUACCAGUAAGCCAUGAGUACCUAGCAAACCAUGUAGCACCCACAACACUGACGUUGCCAUUACUUUUGGUGAUCUCGAUUUUGCGAAGUGCUCUACCUUUUUCUUUGGUCGCUAACUUAGCACUGUAACUCAAUGAAUGGAAUGCUUUGUGUAAUUAAACAUGAACAAUGUCCUCUGUU